UUCCUGCCAUGGUUGUUCAAAUCAGGGAACUCCUAGCAUUUCAGAUCCCCAGGGAUUUCAGCCAUGAAACUUUCAGUGGCAGAGGAACAGAUAUUACUUCUUCUCUCCUAUAUUCCCAAAGAAUCCAGCCCAUUGUAGAGAUUGAAUGGCAUUUGAGAAUAAAGAGUAGAGUUCAGUAGACAAAUCAGAGAUUAAGGAUAAAGAAAGUACAAUCUAUCUGCAAUCCUGU
rnacentral:lncRNA from 10 species